ACGGGUGAGUAACACGUGAAUUAUCUACCUCCGAGUGGGGAAUAACUGAGAGAAAUCUUAGCUAAUACCGCAUAACACUUACGAGUCAAAGCAGCAAUGCGCUUGGAGAGGAGUUCGCGGCCGAUUAGCUAGUUGGCGGGGUAAUGGCCCACCAAGGCGAUGAUCGGUAUCCGGCCUGAGAGGGCGCACGGACACACUGGAACUGAAACACGGUCCAGACUCCUACGGGAGGCAGCAGUGGGGAAUAUUGGACAAUGGGGGAAACCCUGAUCCAGCGACGCCGCGUGUGUGAAGAAGGCCUGCGGGUUGUAAAGCACUUUUAGUGGGGAUGAAAAGCUCAGGGAUAACACCUCUGGGUCUUGACCUAACCCACAGAAAAAGCACCGGCUAACUCUGUGCCAGCAGCCGCGG
rnacentral:rRNA from 1 species